CAUAGCGACUAUCGUGGCAUAUCAAUAAGCGGAGGAAAAGAAACUAACUAGGAUUCCCUAGUAACGGCGAGUGAAGCGGGAAGAGCUCAAAUUUGAAAUCUUCAAGGUUCUACCUUGACGAAUUGUAGUUUAAAGAAGUGUUUUCUGUUGGAGUUUUGGUAAAAGUUCUUUGGAAUAGGACAUCAUAGAGGGUGAGAAUCCCGUAUUUGACCAUUUCUUCCAGCUGUGUGAUACACUUUCAAAGAGUCGGAUUGUUUGGGAAUGCAGUCCAAAAUGGGUGGUAAAUUUCAUCUAAAGCUAAAUAUUGGCGAGAGACCGAUAGCGAACAAGUACCGUGAGGGAAAGAUGAAAAGAACUUUGAAAAGAGAGUUAAACAGUACGUGAAAUUGUCAAAAGGGAAGCGUUUGACACCAGUGUUGUUUAGUUGAAAAUCAAUUACGAAUGUUUUGAUUUUAAGAGUUAUGACUUCAUCGGCUUGCUUCUUUCUUUAUGAACUUUCUUAAUGCACUUUUCGGUUAACAAGUCAACAUCAAUUUCUUUUGUUGUAAAAGGGUAAUGAGGAAGGUGGCUUUACUUUCGGAGAAAGUGUUUAUAGCCUUGUAGCCUCUGCAAUCGGAGAGAUUGAGGUCUGCAGCGUAGAUCCUUCGGGGUUAGAUACGUUUGUGCUAAGUUAUAGCUUUUCAUAGACAACUUGUUGACUAUGUUUAGUCUUGUAGCUUACUCGCUAUGCGCUAUUUUACCUACGCUUAGGAUGUUGAUAGUCACAGCGUGUAC
rnacentral:rRNA from 1 species